rnacentral:rRNA from 1 species
GACGAACGCUGGCGGCGUGCCUAACACAUGCAAGUCGAGCGGAGAAUAUAGCAAUAUAUUCUUAGCGGCGGACGGGUGAGUAACGCGUGGGUAACCUGCCUUGUACAGGGGGAUAACACAGGGAAACUUGUGCUAAUACCGCAUAACAUCAUUAGGUGGCAUCACCUGAUGAUCAAAGGAGCAAUCCGGUAUAAGAUGGACCCGCGUCCGAUUAGCUAGUUGGUGGGGUAAAGCUCACCAAGGCGACGAUCGGUAGCCGAACUGAGAGGUUGAUCGGCCACAUUGGGACUGAGACACGGCCCAGACUCCUACGGGAGGCAGCAGUGGGGAAUAUUGCGCAAUGGGGGAAACCCUGACGCAGCAACGCCGCGUGAAGGAUGAAGGUUUUCGGAUUGUAAACUUCUUUGAUGAGGGACGAAUAACGACGGUACCUCAGGAACAAGCCACGGCUAACUACGUGUCAGCAGUAGCGGUAA